UUGUCGUCAGCUCGUGUCGUGAGAUGUUGGGUUAAGUCCCGCAACGAGCGCAACCCUUAUUGCUAGUUACCAUCAUUGAUUGGGGACUCUAGCGAGACUGCCAGCGAUAAGCUGGAGGAAGGUGGGGAUGACGUCAAAUCAUCAUGCCCCUUAUGACCUGGGCUACAAACGUGAUACAAUGGCUGGAACAAAGGGAGGCGAAGGGGUGACCUGGAGCGAAACCCAAAAAUACAGUCUCAGUUCGGAUUGAAGUCUGCAACUCGACUUCAUGAAGUCGGAAUCGCUAGUAAUCGCGGAUCAGAACGCCGCGGUGAAUACGUUCUCGGGGUUU
rnacentral:rRNA from 1 species